GUUCUUUCAGAGGUGCUGGAUUAACAUUGUAAGGACCGCCAAAAUGGAACAAAGAGAAAGACGGAGCAUCGCUGUUCGGUUUAGCAACAUUAUCGAAACCACCAUUUUGUCUAGUAGAACAAGGUCUUUCCAGAGGAUACCCGUUUCUCGACAGUACAGGUGCACCGUCCAAAUUCUUGGUUUUCUCAUUCAUGCUUGGAACAUAAACUCGAUCCGCAGACUGAUACAACGGCCGCUGUUGUAAACUUAGCAAAG
rnacentral:misc_RNA from 1 species